rnacentral:misc_RNA from 1 species
AAAGUCUUAAUCUGGAGGUCAGAGGACCAUUUCAUCCUCUAUCUGAAGAGAAUAUGAUUGGCAAAAUGUUCUCGUUCUCCUUCCAGAAGGGACACUUAAAAGCUAAUGUCUGCUAUCAGCCGCUGCACUCAGCUAAUUUAGAGGUGAGACAUUUGCCUUUGGAUGAAUUGGAGCUGGCUUCACUUCGUGGAACGAUUCAAAGGGCAGAAAUUCAACUCAACUUUCAGAAAAGAAGAGGUCAUGGGGUGUUGUCAGUACUCCGGCCAAAAUUCAGCGGCUUGUUGGGUGAAGCUCUUGAUGUUGCUGCCAGAUGGAGUGGAGAUGUUAUCACCAUUGAGAAGUCCAUUUUGGAGCAAAGCAAUAGUAAGUAUGAGCUUCAAGGUGAAUAUGUACUGCCUGGCACACG